GGGCGGGGCGCCCGUGGGUGUGGACAGAACCGAGGUGGGAGGAGGGUGCAAAGCAACUGAGCGCCUCUCUUGGCUGUUGCCUAUCCUGAUCGCCUGGGUUGGGAAGCCCCAGACGGUCUCCUCUGAAACGCCCUGCUCCUGGCCGGACCGGGAGCCCACUGGGGUCUCCUCCAGUUCUCCGCUAAAGUGUCGGUGGACGGCAAGCAGCUAAUAAGUAGCACUGGACUUGCGGACCCCAGGCAAACUGCCGAGGCGCACCUGAGCGCUCGUCCUCCUGCUUCUUCAACCACAAACGCUCCUACAGGGACGGGAUCCUUCUCCUGAAGUCCUUUAGUAACUCUGAAAUCCUCCAAGGUACUAUUGCUAUUAUUAUUUCCCUUAAAGGUGGGGUAACUGAGGCCCCAUGAAGUUAAAGAAUGUUCCUGAAGUCUCUCAGCAAUUCUCAAGUCCCAUCUUAUUUGAAGCAUGUAUUCCUGACAUGGGUCCCAUAACUGCUCUCAGCAGAUGAAUAUUAACGGUGAGAUCAUCUUCCCCUAAUCUUGGGAAAGUCUUGUGUUUUUUGCUUUUUGCCUUUUUACACUGUCUAAGAGAUGAAAAGAUUUUUAAAAAUAAUUGCAAAGUUCAUUUUUCCUCAUAUUUAAGAAAUUAGACUUAAUCAUAUAGCACUCUAAAGACCAUUAUUUUGAUUGACACAGAUCAACUUUCAGAACAAGCCCAAUCAGUUUUGCCUUUCCUAGCUUAGCUGAUGUUCUGUAUGGGUGUUCUUAACUUUUAAAUUACUGUUAAGAGGUAAGAAUGGGAUAUGUCCCUCUGCAUACUUUAUGUGCUGUUGUCUUGAUUCUGUAUGAGAGUUUGAAAAAAUAUCACUAUAACAUUAUAUGUUUUUUAAAGAAGGAAAAGCAAGAAUGCAACUUAAACUCCAUUUUAAUAAGAUGCAUUAAUCACAACAUGAAUUUCAUUUUGUGUUUUGCUGUCAUUUAAAAAUGUUUUGCACUUUUGCGUUUUACUGACUAAAAUGUCACGUUUACAAUGGGAACAACAGCUAGGAAGGGUGAAAUGGUUUGAUUCUAAAAUCUUCCGUAAACUUUUGUCUUAUUAUUUUGAAUUAAUCUCAAACCUGUAUUUGGGAUAGUAUUUUUCUAGCCUAAUAUCAUUUGAAAAUAAAAUAAUAUUUGAGGUUAUUCUUAGACAAAGCUUUAUCCAAAGCAUUUGGAUGAAAGUGGCUAUCAAGUUUAUACCAUCUAUAGUUAGUAAAAUUCUAGUGUAAUUCAAUAUUUAAAAUUUAAGACCAUAUCACCAUUCACACAGCAAAGGAAGCAAGGCUUAUCUUUUUCCAGUUACAUCAAAAACUAUUCUCAUUUUUAUUCACAAAUAUUUGACUUCUUUGAAACUUUUACUUCUCCCACUGAAGUGCUUGCUGUAGCCAAUUGGACUUGAUAAGCAUGGUAAGCGUCGGGGCAUGUAUUAGUAAAGAAUUGUUAGCCUCUCACUAACCUCUAUGCCAAUGAACAAAAUGUGUUGCAUUUCAGAUAAUUUGGGUAUUUCUCUUCUUUCAGCACUUUGCUUCAUCCUAUAUUGUCUGCCUUUAGCUAUUCACCUUGUAAACAAGUGACUGUGAGGUUUUGUGGAGUAACAGUGUGAAGCUGGCAGUUGGAUUCUGGUUGGUACUUUCUGGUCAGUUACUACGGAUAUAGUGUGAAUUGUGUUGGUCUGAAACAACACCACCCUCUAGUGACCAAAAGGCUAAUAACAUGCUUUAUGCUGUUUUAAAGAGAAUUUCCAUAGGGCCAAUGGAUGCUUUGCUUAGGGAAUCUCUGAUUUCUUUCCUAGAGAUCUACUUAUCAGUACAUAAUUGUGGUCACUUUGUUUUCCUUUGAGGUUACAAAUUGGCAACUUUGUUUAACAGUCAAUAAACCAGUAGAGGAUUAAACUGAAAGACCAGAUAUUCAUUUUUUUUUAAUUUAAAGUAUAUAUUCACCUAUUAUGUUUUCAAUGAAAUUCUAACCUGGACAUGUUUUAAAUUCACAGAUUACUUAAUUGUACCCUACAGCUUAAAAUGUAUAAUGUAUGUCAAUAUUUAGCUAGUGAUGAUGAAUUUAUUUUGCUAUUUACUUCUAUUAAACAUCUAUUUAAAAAUCUUAAAUAUGGAUACAAAAUAAGAUUAAUAAUGAGUCACAUGAUCAGCCUUUGAUUGCCUCACUAUGGAUGGAAAAUAUCUGAAAGUCUUUCUUCAUGGAGCCAACCAGUAAUUUUAGUUUAUAUUUUAGUCAUUCAUUCAUUCAAUAACCAUUCAUUGAGCACCCAAUCUAUGUCAGACACUGUUUCAGUCAUUAGGGAUACAAAAGCAAUACAUAACAGUGCCUAUAUUCAUGGGGUUUAUAUUUUAGUGCAAAAUUACUGAUUCUAAGUGCCAAAUAACAGGAGAAACACUGAUCCCAUGGCUUUUGUCUUCUCAGAAUGAUUGUCAUGGAAGUACAGUGCAAUGUAGACUUAACAUUUAAACAUCAAUCAAUGUAAUUACUGUAUCAAAAUAAAAGCAAUGCCUAGAAGUCUUUGCUAGAUCAAAGAGUCCCUUUCUAUGAAUGCCUUUUCUGCUGUCUUUUCUUCCUAUUCUUUACAUGCCUGUUUUUUUUAAUUGAAAACUGGACAUUGUAAUAUAUUGUAAUGACUCUGGAGUCUACCGGGUUUUUUUCCCUGAGUAUUAUCUAUUUUAUGUUUG
rnacentral:lncRNA from 1 species